GGACUACCGGGGUUUCUAAUCCCGUUCGCUACCUACGCUUUCGUGCCUCAGCGUCAGGAGUGGCCCAGUGAGCUGCCUUCGCCAUUGGUGUUCCUGCUGAUAUCUACGGAUUUCACUCCUACACCAGCAAUUCCACUCACCUCUACCAUCCUCUAGUCUUGUAGUAUCGUACCCACUUCCAAGGUUGAGCCUUGGCCUUUAAGAUCCGACUUGCAAAACCGCCUACGCAACGCUUUACGCCCAGUGAUUCCGGGUAACGCUUGAGUUCUCCGUAUUACCGCGGCUGCUGGCAC
rnacentral:rRNA from 1 species